UAAAACUUUGCGUAUAAGUUUCUGGUCUUUUCGGAUGUUGCCGAAAUCACAACCACAGGAGAAAGCGGAUUAAAGGAUUCGCUGAAAAGAGGCUGCCGUUACUCCCCAAACCAAAGUGACUCUCUUCAGCUGGUAUUAUUCCUAAUGUUUAAUACAAAACAUGCUGAAAACAUCUGGAACCAGAACCAGUAUUUUCAUCUGGAAAUGUGACAGAUUUUUGCAGCUGACAUAAACUGAAGGAGCUGACACCAGAAACCUUUAUGUGAAUCGAACCUGAAACAAGUAUUUUGCAGCAUGUGAAGGCUGUGAGAUACUGCAAGGAGGAUGCAUCUCCCAAGUUCAGACUGAAGAAUCAAAAGAGUAAACCUAAGGUUAUCUGUUUUAAGGGCAACCAAAUAUAAAUGUCAGAAUCCGGGAUUUGUGUAUUUACACAUCCAAAAGAUGGGUAUUUAGGAUGUGGAUGUUACAUUUCUGACUGAUCCUGCUGAAUCUGUCUUGCAGCUAAUGUAAAAAAUAAACAAUUUUUUUCUGUUUAUGCAA